rnacentral:rRNA from 1 species
GAUGAACGCUGGCGGAGUGCCUAACACAUGCAAGUCGAACGAAGCACCUUGCCUGAUUCUUCGGAUGAAGGUCUGGUGACCGAGUGGCGGACGGGUGAGUAACGCGUGGGUAACCUGUCCUGUACAGGGGGAUAACAGUUGGAAACGGCUGCUAAUACCGCAUAAACGAACGAGAGAACAUCCAGUAGUGUGAAAAACUCCGGUGGUACAGGAUGGGCUCGCGUCUGAUUAGCUAGUUGGAAGGGUAACGUCCUACCAAGGCGACGAUCAGUAGCCGGUCGGAGAGGAUGAACGGACACAUUGGAACUGAGACACGGUCCAAACUCCUACGGGAGGCAGCAGUGGGGAAGAUUGCACAAUGGGGGAAACCCUGAUGCAGCAACGCCGCGUGAGUGAAGAAGUAUUUCGGUAUGUAAGGCUCUAUCAGCAGGGAAGAUAAUGACGGUACCUGACUAAGAAGCUCCGGCUAAAUACGUGCCAGCCGCCGCAGUAA